UUUACCUGUUUCUAUUUUUCUCUUUCUGAUUUUGCUUUUUCAUGUUAUAAAGCCAUGACUCUCCCUCUCUCUCUCUCUCUCUCUCUCUCUUUCUCAGAGCAUCAGCACUUCAUGUAUUCUCUUUGUUGGUUUUUACAGGGCUCUCAAGAAAUGAUGAGGUUGGUGGUGGCUUGGAACACUACUGCUGAUAUGUGAUAAUGAGGGAGAGUAAUUUGUUGAGAGAUCUUGCUCAAGACCGCGCAGCUGAUUCAUGUAACACUGCAUCGUGGUAGGUGUCUAUCGCUGCUCAAAAACUAGUGUGAUGACAGUGAAGCCUGCCGGCCGGACGGACACCGAUGACUCUUUCAACAACCGAUCACUGAUGGUAGCCCUCUACCUCGAUGCGCUGUUCAUGUGCAGGCUGGCUGUGUGGUCUUGCUCAAGAUCUCACAGCAGAGAGAUGGUGGACAUGUUCUUUGAUGUCUGUCUGUGCUGGGUAUAAUUACAUCGAUCACCCUGCAUCUGUCCACGGCUUGAUGCAGUGAACCAAUGGAAGGAAGAACUACAAGUUGGAAUUUGUUGUUACAGAAUCUUGAAAUUGGGAAUUGCAGAGAGAGAGAAGGAGAACUCAUCACCUCACUGCAAAUUUCAGGCUUAGUACCCUCUCCAUUCAAUGAAGUAGAUGAAAUGCACUCCCAUUAAGGAUUCAAGAGUUUGUUGUUGCAGAAUCUGAAAAUUGGGAAUUGCAGAGAGAAGGAGAACUCAUCACCUCACUGCAAAUUUCAUAGACAAGACAGAGAAGAAGACUGUCAAAAAUUGAUGUGUAUCAACUAAGUUGACCAACAUCCUUUUUAUAGAUUGGUCUCAGACCCGAACGGACACAAAGGUGUCCUUUCAAACAGGAGUCUCUUCAGAACAGUGCACCUGUUCAAAAAGGCACAAAGAGAAAGAGACACGAAAAAAAGAAAGAAAAAACAUUUUUUUAAAUAAAUUCAAAAUUCGAACAGACACCUGUUUGAACGUACACGCCGCACCCACCCCACCUUGCCCCUCCCUAGCUCGGAUUGGCUCGACGCACGCGUGAAAAGCACCUCCAUAUUCUCUUUAUUUUUGUUUUUGCCUUUUGUUAUCUUUGCUUUGUUUUCCUCCUCCUUUGUCCAUUAUUUCCUUUAUGUUUUAAACCAUUCAUCUUAUUCAUUUCAACCCUAUUGUCAAAGACCAAGCUCUCCAAUAUGAUACAAUUUCAACCUAA